rnacentral:rRNA from 1 species
UACGUAGGUGGCAAGCGUUAUCCGUAUUUAUUGGGCGUAAAGGGAACGCAGGCGGUCUUUUAAGUCUGAUGUGAAAGCCUUCGGCUUAACCGGAGUAGUGCAUUGGAAACUGGGAGACUUGAGUGCAGAAGAGGAGAGUGGAACUCCAUGUGUAGCGGUGAAAUGCGUAGAUAUAUGGAAGAACACCAGUGGCGAAAGCGGCUCUCUGGUCUGUAACUGACGCUGAGGUUCGAAAGCGUGGGUAGCAAACAGG